AGAGUUUGAUCCUGGCUCAGGAUGAACGCUGGCGGCGUGCUUAACACAUGCAAGUCGAACGAUCCUUCGGGAUAGUGGCGGACGGGUGAGUAACGCGUGGGAAUCUGCCCUCAGGAGGGGGAUAACGGCUGGAAACGGCCGCUAAUACCCCAUAUGCCGAGAGGUGAAAUGAAUUUCGCCUGAGGAUGAGCCCGCGUCUGAUUAGCUAGUUGGUGGGGUAAAGGCCUACCAAGGCAACGAUCAGUAGCUGGUCUGAGAGGAUGAUCAGCCACACUGGGACUGAGACACGGCCCAGACUCCUACGGGAGGCAGCAGUGGGGAAUUUUCCGCAAUGGGCGAAAGCCUGACGGAGCAACGCCGCGUGAGGGAUGAAGGCCUCUGGGCUGUAAACCUCUUUUCUCAAGGAAGAAGACCUGACGGUACUUGAGGAAUAAGCCACGGCUAAUUCCGUGCCAGCAGCCGCGGUAAUACGGGAGUGGCAAGCGUUAUCCGGAAUUAUUGGGCGUAAAACGUCCGCAGGCGGCCUUGUAAGUCUGUUGUUAAAGCGUGGAGCUCAACUCCAUUUAAGCAAUGGAAACUACAAGGCUGGAGUGUGGUAGGGGCAGAGGGAAUUCCCGGUGUAGCGGUGAAAUGCGUAGAUAUCGGGAAGAACACCAGUGGCGAAGGCGCUCUGCUGGGCCAUAACUGACGCUCAUGGACGAAAGCCAGGGGAGCGAAAGGGAUUAGAUACCCCUGUAGUCCUGGCCGUAAACGAUGAACACUAGGUGUCGGGGGAAUCGACCCCCUCGGUGUCGUAGCCAACGCGUUAAGUGUUCCGCCUGGGGAGUACGCACGCAAGUGUGAAACUCAAAGGAAUUGACGGGGGCCCGCACAAGCGGUGGAGUAUGUGGUUUAAUUCGAUGCAACGCGAAGAACCUUACCAGGGUUUGACAUCCUGCGAACCCCUGAGAAAUCGGGGGGUGCCUUCGGGAGCGCAGAGACAGGUGGUGCAUGGCUGUCGUCAGCUCGUGUCGUGAGAUGUUGGGUUAAGUCCCGCAACGAGCGCAACCCACGUCUUUAGUUGCCAGCAUUCAGUUGGGCACUCUAGAGAGACCGCCGGUGAUAAACCGGAGGAAGGUGUGGAUGACGUCAAGUCAUCAUGCCCCUUACAUCCUGGGCUACACACGUACUACAAUGCUACGGACAAAGGGCAGCAAGCUCGCGAGAGUUAGCAAAUCCCAUAAACCGUGGCCCAGUUCAGAUCGUAGGCUGCAACUCGCCUACGUGAAGGAGGAAUCGCUAGUAAUCGCAAGUCAGCAUACUGCGGUGAAUACGUUCCCGGGCCUUGUACACACCGCCCGUCACACCAUGGAAGUUGGCCAUGCCCGAAGUCGUUACUCCAACCC
rnacentral:rRNA from 1 species